AUACGGAGGGUCCGAGCGUUAAUCGGAAUUACUGGGCGUAAAGCGCGCGUAGGUGGUUCAGUCAGUCAGAUGUGAAAGCCCCGGGCUCAACCUGGGAACUGCACCUGAUACUGCUGAGCUAGAGUACGGUAGAGGGCAGUGGAAUUUCCGGUGUAGCGGUGAAAUGCGUAGAGAUCGGAAGGAACACCAGUGGCGAAGGCGAAUGCCUGGACUGAUACUGACACUGAGGUGCGAAAGCGUGGGUAGCAAACAGGAUUAGAUACCCUGGUAGUCCACGCCGUAAACGAUGUCAACUAGCCGUUGGGGGACUUGAUCCUUUAGUGGCGAAGCUAACGCGAUAAGUUGACCGCCUGGGGAGUACGGCCGCAAGGUUAAAACUCAAAUGAAUUGACGGG
rnacentral:rRNA from 1 species